CAUUCUGCUGCUCCACCAACAAAGACAGACGUGUGCAUAGUUCACACACAUAGUGCAAGUUUAGGCAGUCAUAUGGUGAACAGUAAGGAGUACAGUGAUCACAAGUAAACAUAAAUACCACAAAUACCACAAAUACAAAACAGCAGCGAAAAACCCCCCCAAAAAACUUUGGAUUGCAUGAGGGAAAGCUGACCUCCGUCUACUGUAUACACCAAGUAUUACCUACAGUAGACGGAGGUCAGCUUUCCCCCAGUUUGGAGAAGUAGACAGGAGUCCUGGCACAGAAACAGUGCGAUGCACUGCUGUGGACGGGGGGCUGCAGAAAAACAUCUAAAAAUAUCUAUAUCAGUUCAAAGAUACUCUGUAUUUAGAAUACUUUCACCACUUUACCGUGCUGUCAGCCCUUUCCAACGGGAAACUGAAGCACUUAUAUCCAUCUAUUCUCUCUUCAAAGCCACCAGACUAAAAAUAGUAAUUGUACUUUGCAGAAGACGGGAGUUGCUGGUCCACCACUGCCAAGAGUGUGCCAUUUUGACAUACAUUAGUUGGGUAAACACAUGUGUCACCAACAAUACUAAUUAAAGCUGCAGUAGGUAAUUUUUAUAAAAAAUUACUUUUUGUCAUAUUUGCUGAAACUUUCACUAUAUCCUGACAGUCCAUGACAUAGAUCCCAGUUGACUCUUACAAAUCUCAUGAACACUAGGAGGAGCCAGAGAGACCUGAUUUUUGACAGAUUAUCUCCUUUGUGUACUACUGUCAGGAUAUAGAGAAAGUUUCAGCAAAUAUGACUGAAAUGGUGGACAUGGAGGGCGACUGAGGGACUGCAGGUCUGACACUGUGGUCAGUAGCACGGGAGCGCCGCAAGGGACCGUGCUCUCUCCGGUCCUGUUCACCCUGUACACGUCGGACUUCAAAUAUAACUCGGAGUCCUGUCACGUGCAAAAGUUCGCAGAUGACACGGCUAUUGUGGGCUGUAUCAGGAAUGACCAGGAGGAGGAGUACAGGAAACUCAUUCAGGACUUUUGUCACAUGGUGUGACUCCAACCACCUGCGCCUCAACACCACCAAGACCAAGGAGAUGGUGGUGGACCUCAGAAGGCCCAGGGCUCACCCGGAACCUGUGACCAUCAAUAGUGACCAUGUGGAGUUGGUACAGACAUACAAAUACCUGGGAGUACACCUGGAUGAUAGGCUGGACUGGACUGCCAACACAGACGCCCUGUGCAGAAGAGGUCAGAGCCGAUUAUACUUCCUCAGAAGGCUGGCGUCCUUCAACAUCUGCAAAAAACUGCUUCAGAUAUUCUAUCAGACUGUUGUGGCGAGCGCCCUCUUCUAUACAGCAGUGUGCUGGGGAGGCAGCAUUAAGAAGAAGGAUGCCUCCCGUCUGGACAAACUGGUGAGGAAGGCGGGCUCUGUGUUGGGCACAGAGCUGGACAGACUGACAUCUGUGGCAGAGCGAAGGGCGCUGAACAGGCUCCUGUCAAUCAUGGACAAUCCACUGCAUCCACUGCACAGCACCAUCUACAGGCAGAGGAGCAGCUUCAGCGACAGGCUGCUGUCACUGUCCUACUCCACUGAAAGACUGAGGAGAUCGUUCCUCCCCCACGCCAUCAGGCUCUUCAACUCCACCCAGGGGAGAAAAACUCUAAACUCCAAUAUGUCUGCCCUUUAGUUAACUAUACUACCUGACGCAGUGCACCCUGCAUUAUGUGACCACUGACUGACCGACACUACUUAUGCACCUUAGGCCUUUCAAGCACUGGAUUUGACCAUGCACCUUAGGACACUAGCCCCAUGCUCGUUAUUUAGCUAUUUAUUCUACUUUAUUCUAUUAGUUCUUCUAAAUUGACCUCCUCCUCUUAUUAUUAUUAUUAUUAUUAUCAGUUUGUGGAUACUGCUGGAAACUGUGAAUUUCCCCUUGGGGAUGAAUAAAGUAUCUAUCUAUCUAUCUAUCUAAAAGUUACCUACUGCAGCUUUAAUGCUCUGUUCCAUUCAGGUCAAAAGUCAGGGUGCUGCUAUUGUACUUGUUGGCUCACUGGAAAGGCUCUGCUGCAAUAAAUGGAGAUAACUUUCAUUAGCUUGAUAAUAAUUGGUAACAUCUGUGUUUACCAUACUAUUUUUCAUCAAAAUGGCUGCAGUGAAAACGAUCUAUAGCUAACAUAAACAAACUAAGUGACAGAAGCAGUGGUGGACCAGCAACUCCUGUGUUCUGUGAGGUAAAAUGACAAUGUUUGGAAAUGGCUGUCUGAGAGCAAGCUCUGUUCGACAUCAGAACAUUGCUUAGCUUCCAUGCCGGUACUCCUGCUGUCUGCUUCUCCAAACUAGGGCAGGGGAGGUAACAGACUGAUUAUGGAAGUACCUCAUACAGUCUUACUUCAAUAAAGCCGCACUACUUUAUACAAACAAUUUACAUGUUGAGGAAAUUAACUCUCAAAUAAUUCUUU